GACGAACGCUGGCGGCGUGCUUAACACAUGCAAGUCGAACGGAAAGGCCCUGCUUUUGUGGGGUGCUCGAGUGGCGAACGGGUGAGUAACACGUGAGUAACCUGCCCUUGACUUUGGGAUAACUUCAGGAAACUGGGGCUAAUACCGGAUAGGAGCUCCUGCUGCAUGGUGGGGGUUGGAAAGUUUCGGCGGUUGGGGAUGGACUCGCGGCUGAUCAGCUUGUUGGUGGGGUAGUGGCUUACCAAGGCUUUGACGGGUAGCCGGCCUGGGAGGGUGACCGGCCACAUUGGGACUGAGAUACGGCCCAGACUCCUACGGGAGGCAGCAGUGGGGAAUAUUGCACAAUGGGCGGAAGCCUGAUGCAGCAACGCCGCGUGCGGGAUGACAGCCUUCGGGUUGUAAACCGCUUUCGCCUGUGACGAAGCGUGAGUGACGGUAAUGGGUAAAGAAGCACCGGCUAACUACGUG
rnacentral:rRNA from 1 species